rnacentral:tRNA from 1 species
GGUUUUAUAUUCAAUUAUGAUUUUAGACUGCAAUUCUAAAGGUGUAUAUUUAUACUAAGGCCU